rnacentral:rRNA from 1 species
UACGGAGGGUGCGAGCGUUACCCGGAUUUACUGGGUGUAAAGGGCGUGUAGGCGGUUUCUCAAGUCCGAUGCUAAAGACCGAGGCUCAACCUCGGGAGUGCGUUGGAUACUGUGAGGCUAGACGGUCGGAGAGGGUAGCGGAAUUUCCGGAGUAGCGGUGAAAUGCGCAGAUACCGGAAGGAACGCCAAUAGCGAAAGCAGCUACCUGGACGAUUUGUGACGCUGAGGCGUGAAAGCGUGGGGAGCAAACCGG